UGGAGAUGAUGCAAACAUUGAUAAACUGACAGAUACUGUGGAGGAAAAAAUAUUGAUUUAAUGAGGCUGAUCC